rnacentral:lncRNA from 1 species
CGCAGCUCAGAUCCCGUGUUGCUGUGGCUGUGGUGUAGGCCGGCGGCUACAGCUGAUUGGACCCCUAGCCUGGGAACCUCCAUAUGCUGCGGGAGCAGCUCAACAAAAGGCAAAAAGACAAAAAAAAAAAAAAUUAUUCUUCUGACAGAUUCUAAGCACAUGCAGGUCCUCGUCCCUUGGCUCCAGCGAUCACCGAAUCGCAGCCAGUCUGGUCCAGUCGUCCCCCUGCAUCUCCCUCGCUCAGCACCACUUCGCAGAGACCCCAAGCCUCAUCCAAUGUCGGGUCGUGUCUAAGAGAUGUGAACUUGGACAUGUAAAGGCAGACGUCCGUGGUCACAUGUCAGCUGUGGUUCCUCAGCAUCGAGAGCCUCUUCCCUCACGUUUCUCAUCAUCUCUUCAGCGUCAUCUUAUUUAUUCCAAGAUUGGUGUCUUCGAGCCGUGGAUCCAGGGAAGGGUCACGUGUUGCAUAUUCUGUCAAAUACGUGUUUAAUCCACACCCCCCACUUUCCCUACAGAUAGAUUCCCUGAAGAACCUGGGUUGUUUGCCCGUGGAGUCUGCCUCGAUUUUGACGGAGUCACGGUGGUUAACGUAUUUCUCUGCUAAACGGGGGGCGGACUCGGCCAGCGCUUGUGUUGAGCACACGGUGCUCAUCGCAUGGAAAUUCCCGGGGCUUCCCUCUCCGCCCGUUUCCCUGUGUCAGGCGAGGCCGGCCCCCGCACCCAGAGCCACAUGGAGGAGGAUACGGAGCCGGUGGCCGAGAGGAGCCCAGCCGCCCGUCGCCCCGAGUACCGGCUCAGAGCCACCACCUCGGCCCACCUCCUCGGCUGUAAACACCACCUUAGAAACACCUCGACUGCUGACGUGGUCGGAAAGGGUGCUUUUAAAACUGUGAAGACGGCGUGAAUUCCCUUCAGAGACGUUUUUAUCCUGGCAGGAAAACGCAGGGGUAAGGGUUUUGUUUUUCUGAAACCUCGUGUCUUGAAGCCUGUUCCGCACAAAUGCAGCACGUCCCAGCCCUGCCAGGUGCAAGCUGUUGGGAGAGCGUGGGGUGGGGUGUGGAGACCCCCCUGAAAUCCAAGACCGGUGGGAACUCAUUGUUUCCCGCCUUUGCCCUCGUCUUGAGAAGAGGCGGGCAAGCUCGUCGAGGGCCAGCGUGUGUUCGUGCAAACAGUGCGUCACCUGCAGGAGGGUGAGGGGUGCUCAGGAAUGCGCCGCAGAUGCAAACACCUCGGGGGUUUCACGCCUUGGGCGCUGCCACCCGGGUCAGGCGGCUGGACCCUUGGCCGCCGAGUCAGGCCGCGUGACGGGUGAGGCGCAGGCUGUAAAUGGCGCCCGUCUUCUUGUUUCGGGUCCUUGGAAAUGAUGGCUUUUCCUGAGAAGAACAGUUAUCAGAGAAAAAUGCUUGCUUGGAGUUCUGGAAAGGAAAGAAAGACAAGACAGUGAGUGCGACAGGGUGAAGAGGAGUUUGCACAGGAAAGGCUGGCCGUAUUUUGCCAAAACGAUGGCAUUUCUGUCAUCUGUGUCCAGCACACUUCACUUAUCUGGAAGACGCGGAGCCAUCAAAAAAAGUCGGGAAUUCCAAGCCAUGACCUGCCGAGGGCACAGAUGGUAACAUUUGGGAUGGUUUUAGUGUAAAAAAUGUGUUUAUAGAAUCUGCCUUAAAAUCUCCAGGCUGACAGUGAGCUUAAUAAAAAUAUCCAGCCGGAUUUUUAGCA